CCUACGGGGGGCAGCAGUGAGGAAUAUUGGUCAAUGGGCGGAAGCCUGAACCAGCCAAGCCGCGUGAGGGAUGAAGGUACAGAGUAUCGUAAACCUCUUUUGUCAGGGAACAAAGGCGGGGACGUGUCCCCGGAUGAGUGUACCUGAAGAAAAAGCAUCGGCUAACUCCGUGCCAGCAGCCGCGGUAAUACGGAGGAUGCGAGCGUUAUCCGGAUUUAUUGGGUUUAAAGGGUGCGCAGGCGGUCUGUUAAGUCAGCGGUCAAAGCCCGGGGCUCAACCCCGGCCCGCCGUUGAAACUGGCAGUCUCGAGUUGGAGAGAAGUAUGCGGAAUGCGCGGUGUAGCGGUGAAAUGCAUAGAUAUCGCGCAGAACUCCGAUUGCGAAGGCAGCAUGCCGGCUCCACACUGACGCUGAGGCACGAAAGCGUGGGUAUCGAACAGGAUUAGAUACCCGAGUAGUC
rnacentral:rRNA from 1 species